rnacentral:misc_RNA from 1 species
GGGGUUUGAGAGACACUACGAGGGCAUGUUUGCAGCAUAUUGUUUGCAAAUGGGCAGAUGAUAUUUUUGGCAUGACAAUUGGUACCCUAGAGAUCCUCUUUUGUAUAGAGAGGGAGCUCUCAGUCAAUAGAGUAUUAGUUACAUGCUGAAGUUUCAGGAUACAAUUACCCUAACAUAUGGAACAUGCAACAUUUGAGGAAAUAGUGGCCUAGUAAACUGGGGUUUUCAAUUCUGAAGACACUUGAGUGAUAUUGGUACCAUUUGAUUUGGUCCAUAAAAGCCAUUUUGAAACAAACACUUAUUGCAUAUAUCCAGCUGUAGUGUAAAGAACAGGCUAACAAUAAAAGACAGCAAUUCUCUAAUGAAACUUUUCAGGAAAGGUUUAUUGUUUCUUGAGAAGAGUUGAGGAA